AUCCACCUUAUCUUAAUAUUAUCCUUGAGGACUACAAAUUUUCCUCAUAAAAAAUCCUCAAAAAAAACCUCGAAGUUCCUAGAAAUUGCCACUUUCUUACCCCUCAUUUAUUUACUGUAUGAACAAGGAAAGAGAGGCGUGAAUCUCCAUCUAUUUCCAGUUUUCUUAUAGCCACACAAUUUGGGUAUUUCCAUUCAUCCCACAUCGCUCAGAUCUAAGAAUCCCAUCCCAAAUGUUCUAUCUCCAUGACUGGGAAUAAUUCCUGCAUCUUUUCAUUCCACAAUACUCUAUCCAAUUUUUUAAUUAUGCAAUCAUCAUCAGUUCUUUCAUUCCACCAUGUAUAUUUACUUUCUUGAAAUCCACAUUCUUCUAAAUAGCACAAAUUGAUGCAAUGAUUGAAAUCUUAUAUUUCAUCUAUGCUAUCAGAGUAUGGUGGACCUACCAAAGUUUAUUAAGACUAUUCACAAGGGUACUCAUAGUACCAGUGCUAAGAGUAUACACUGAUAUGGUGAUUUCAGUCAACAUCCAUCCCGAGAUUCCAAUAUGAGUGCGACCCGUGGAUCUUGAGUAUGUGCAGAGUAGGAGCAGUCUUGAAUUACUAGUGAGCUCCAGUAUUCGGGGCUUAUUUCGGACUCCAUACUAUCCUUUUUUAUCAUUAUUUAUUUAUUGGAGAUAGAUUUAUGUAUUUUCUGCACUCUUUAUUGUAUUAGAGCUUUACUCAUGCCAUCAAAUUUUGGGACAUGAGUAAUGCUUUGUUCAAGUUUUAAUGUUGUUGUUAUUUAUAUGUGGCCUAACUUUCUUAUGAUGUCUCAUAUUGGAUUUAUUUACUUCCUUUGAAUUA